rnacentral:lncRNA from 1 species
UAGGGUUAAGGUGAACUCGUCAAACCCAACAUCGUCAUAUAAAUUAAUCGAUUGAUCCGAGUUCGAUGUGAAACCCUAAUAGAAAACUCUUUUUCCAUUAUUUCACUCUGCCAUGGCCAUAGGCUUAAGGACUCGAUCUUUCGAUCAUCAUAGGACUACUCUCAUCUACCGAGGUUGAUAGAUCCCAUCUUAGUGCGACCUAGUUCCUACAAUGAAUAUGCUACAGCCAACAUACACCUCAGGAUUUUGAAUGGCUAGGAGAUUGAGUUAUGGUGUAGUCAAACUAUAACAUACUCAAGGUGAACUGUCGAUGCACCUCAGGUCAAAGAACUAGACACACAACUGCAGCAUCGAUCUAGUCAUCGACGAGAAGGUAGACUUCCUUAUGACUGCUCGAGGUGGUCACGCUCAGUACUCUCGUUCUCAACGAAUACCUGUACUCUCACUUCGAUGUCUCCACACCGUAGACUCAAGAUACAUCUAUCCUAAGAA